rnacentral:pre_miRNA from 1 species
UUUAAGUGCAACUAUAAAUUUUCGUACCUAAUUUUGAUCGUUCGUCUUAUUUAAAAUAUUUUAUAAUUAGUACUUUUAGUGUUAUGAAAUGAUAAAGCAUGAAUAGUGCUUCAUGUAUGACUUAUAUUUUUAAAUAAUACGGACGAUCAAAAUUUACGAAAAAUCAUGGUUGUACUUUAA